GACGAACGCUGGCGGCGCGCCUAACACACGCAAGUCGAACGGAGCUGAGAGAAGCUUGCUUUUCUUAGCUUAGUGGCGAACGGGUGAGUAACGCGUGAGUAACCUGCCCUGGAGUGGGGGACAACAGUUGGAAACGACUGCUAAUACCGCAUAAGCCCACGAUCCGGCAUCGGAUUGAGGGAAAAGGAUUUAUUCGCUUCAGGAUGGACUCGCGUCCAAUUAGCUAGUUGGUGAGGUAACGGCCCACCAAGGCGACGAUUGGUAGCCGGACUGAGAGGUUGAACGGCCACAUUGGGACUGAGACACGGCCCAGACUCCUACGGGAGGCAGCAGUGGGGGAUAUUGUACACUGGGGGAAACCCUGAUGCAGCGACGCCGCGUGGAGGAAGAAGGUUUUCGGAUUGUAAACUCCUGUCGUUAGGGACGAUAAUGACGGUACCUAACAAGAAAGCACCGGCUAACUACGUG
rnacentral:rRNA from 1 species